GUGGUGUUCACAAGUUGAUCUCACUUCUGAAUGGUUAAAACCGCCGCCAAUUCUCAGAAAUUACCAAUAAUUGGUCACAAGAAAAGACUCCCAUCAGCCACCAGCAGCUUCAACUUCCUUAGCUCCCAAAGCUAUCUUAAAGGUAAAGUCACCCUACGACACUUGUGCAUCCUCAGCCUACAACAGCUAAACCACUGAUGUGCUAUCACCGUUAUCUGGCCACAAAUCUUGAAAUACAUCACCCCAAGGGCAGCUUACCCCAAGGUAUUUCCUUCCCAGCACUUUUAGGAGCAGCACUGGGAAUUUUCAGGAAGCAGGAAAAAGAACCUUCCAGCAACACUGCAGAAUCAUCCAAAGAGUGAGAGUGAGGUCACCUCUGCAAGUAGAGGGCAAAUUCCUGGGAGAUAUUUCAGCAGCACAUACCUGUUUGGUAUGUUAUUAUGUUUGGCCUGCUCACCAGCUGUCCAGCACAUAAAAGAGUGCAAGGAGGACAGAUGGAAUGUAAAACAGGGCAGGUGAAGAAGGCUCGAAUACAAAUUUGUAACAGUACCUUAAAAGUCAGAUUCUAACCUGCCCAUUUCUCUUCCAUUUCCCUUUGAAAGAACACCAGUUUCUGGAGAGUGGAAGGAGGGAAUAUUGAAGUAGGUCACAGCCUUUGGUGACAUAACUAUGCCAGUCCUUUCAAACUAUCCCAACAGGCAGAUCAUCCAUAGACUGGAAGGAAAAUGAGAAUCCAAUUAAAGCCAAAAUAAACAGAUCAAUACUUUGUA